GCCAGACACAACAUAAGAGUAACUUUCUCAAGACACAGAGACUUACAUGCAUUUCUGGCCCACAGAAAUAAAAUCUGUGAUUGGAAACAGACUAAGAAACACUUGCCAGAAUACAUUUACCUUUUCUACUUUUGAUUUUCUUUAUUUCACAUACUGGACUGAUUACCAAUCGUGUGAGGAAAUUCAAUCUUCUGUAAGUAUUCAGUGAAAAAUACAAAGUCCAUCUGUGAACAGAGCAUGGAGGCAACAUGUAUGCCAGUGAAAGAGUGGCUGAAAGAUUUUGGAUGUGGAAAAAAAAAAUCAUUUCUAAAGAUAAUGAGAUUUACUGGCACGUGAUAACCAAUUCAGUGGAAAUUGACUAGAACCGAUUCUGUUCCAAGGAUUGAAUUUAAAUCCAUAACUGGGGAAUAUUUUAUUGAAAAAGUAUGGAAGGGACACUCCAGUCAUGUAGUGUUUGUGGGUGGAGCAGGAGUAUCUAUGAGCAGAACUGGUCAGUGGAUUUUGUGUUUAACACACAUUAGAAUGACAAAACCAGGACUAGCACUACAUAGUAGCAUUACCUAUAUUAGUGGUGAGAUGGAGGGAUUCCACAGUGAAACAUAAGCAGAUGUUUUGUCCAUCUUUUGGAAGAUUCCUUUGUUUAACAUGCAAUAUCAGCUGACUCCUGGGGUAACCCUCACUGUUGUCUUCACGCUUAAAAGCCCUUCCACAUUUCCCUUUUUCUAAACUAGUGGUUUUUAAUCCUUUGAAGCAGUGCCUGCAGUGGCAAUCAAGGCAACUUCCCAGUGCCUCAUAGGUAACAUCUGGAGGCUUCUGCACCAUCCCUGGAUUCUGUUCUUUUCUCUCUUCCCUGCUGUAUCACAGGCUGGUACCCCAGCCCCAUACAACCUCUAUGUAUCCCCUAGCUUAUGACAGCUGCUGUUCCCUCUCUUGUGGACAGUGGGAGAAGCUGUGAGGAUGACAGUAACAUGGCCUGCUGAGGGAGUUCCUUGAAUGUGGUUUUCUAAAUUUACCGCAGUCUUCACUGUUGGAAGAUUUUGUUCAUCUCUUUUAUCAUUUUAUUUCCUACCUGCUUUUUGUGUUGAGUCACUGUGUAGUGUUGCCCCACUCCCCGUGGCACAACUGAAGCCUCAGCCCUUAUCAUUCCAGGAAUGUGUCCCUCUUUGGUGUCUUCCUUUGUUCACAGUAUUGUUCUGGUUCCCAGCAAGUCUACUGGCCACCAAGGGUAGCCUGCUGCAGGCCUGGUACAUAGGCCUUUCUUCUCAUUUGGAGACCCACUGUCCUCCAGGAACCUGAGAGGUGGUGUAGGGCCCACAUAGCAGGGGAAAGUGAAGCAGCAGCCAUUUUAAGGGAAGGGUUUUAGGACCAACACUACAACCUGGUGUUUUAGUAUGUCUGUGUAUAUAAUUCAAAAGGGCAAUGAGGAUCCUAACCAAAUUAAAUAAGCAGAUUUUACUGCAUUAAGGAAUUGGCAUGGAAAUUCAAAGAACUGAAUAAACGACUGACUAUACAUUAAGUUUGCAUGCUGUGCUACAGAUGUCUGUUGUAAGGCUAUGAAUGCUGUUAUAUAUUCAAUUUAACUCCAGAGAAUAACCCAAACAAAUGCUGAAUUGAGAACAAUAUUUUUAUUUCAUGUCUUUUUGGAAGAUUAACUAUUGCUUUCUAUAAAUAUGCAAAGACCUGUAGGAGUGGAAAUGCAAAGCAUAGCAUUCACCCCAUUAACAUGUUAAUUCAUUUGGAAGGAACUGAAAAAGUAGUUUCACCUAUUUUAUUUGCAUGCCCCUGCUAGUCUGUUACAGAACCUGUUAAGCCACCAUGCCCAUGGCAUAGGUAACAACCCUGGAGGGAGCAUCAGCCUGAGGGAUCGUGGGAUGCCCCACCAUGUACAGCAUGGGAGUAGCAUAGGUCAAGGGUGAGAUGACAGGUACUGCAAUCUUCCUGUUUGUGAAGCACAGAGGAGUGAUCAUAAAUGAGCAGGGCAGACUGAAGCAUGGAGCAGGAGUGGGAGGGAGUGCCAUGUUCCACAUGGAGCAGGAGUGGGAGGGAGUGCCGUGUUCCACAUGCACGCUCCGCUGGGAGAAUGUCUGUUGUGCCAGGCAGCUUGGGAGCGCUGUGUGCUGUGCCUGGCUAAGGAGAUGUUUGGCUUUGUGGCUAAAAGCAGUCAUGCUGGUUUGGUGAAGCAACUCAGAGGCGAAGCAUGUGCCAUGGAUUAUGUGUGAGUGCUGCAUCUUGUGCUACGUUCCCAUGGGUUGGUUCAUGUGCCUGCCUCUAUGGCCCAUGACUGUGCUCUGUCUUUAAUCAAAGAGCUGCUGUGGCUCAGGCUUUGCUGUACUUCAGCAACAACCAUCAGGAAAGAAACCAUUGCUUGCUCUGAAUUCUCUUCAAUUCUGCACAGCAACUCAAAAUUAAUACCUUUAAUUAUUUGGGAGAAUGGAUUGUUUGAUUAGAGAGCUGAGGAAAGCUUUAUUUAAUUCAUUUAAUUUGAGAAUUAAAUGUUGCAAAAAACCAUACAUACGCAAUUGAUUUCUUAAACUUUAGGUAUUCUAUGACUUCAAGUAAUUUCAUUGUGUUUUCAGCCUUUUUGCCAGUGUGCUCUUUCAUCAUCAUUACUUAUAUCCCAGAGAACUGAGUCCAACAUAUUUUGGGAGAAAUGAUAGAAAAUGAGCAAUUGAAAAAACAACAGGUUAGCAAACCAGUGGAAUUCUCAUGCAUGAGAACUAAAAAAUGACUUUAUAAUAAUCUAACUGUAAGAUGUAAAGUAAAAAAAGGAGCUUCCAUGCUUCUUAUCAUGAGUCACAAGAGAAAUUAUCUCAGCAGAAAAAUGUCAUGUUUCAGUAGUGUCCAAUGUGUCUCAAAGGGUACAGAACAGAAAAGAAUGUGUAAUAAUAUAUCUGUCUUUUCCCAAAGAACUAACAUUAGUACUGAAAGUAAAGUAUUCCAAAGUAAAUGGGAUUCUUACAUGAUUAGUGUCAAAUAAUUUCAAAUCUGCUAGAAAAUACAUUGAUACAUAAACUCCAUUUUCUAAUUUAAGACAAGUUAGAAAAAGGAAAAUGUUGAAUGGGAUGGAAACUGAUACUAUGUUGAAAUUUCUGGGUAAUGUGUAUUGCCUUUUCAUGGAAACCUGACGAAUUCAUUGUACUUUUUACCUGGAAAUAGAAGAAUGUGAGCAGCAGUAAAAACCAAGGUAAAAGGAACCAUAUUACUUUCAGAUAAAUUUCAAGAGCUUCAGAGCUUCCCACUCUUCAAAGGCUUUCUGCAAUAAAAGUUUCCAGCAGAAGAGCAUAUGUGGAAUAACAAAGCUCAGUAAAAACCAACUAAAUGAAAAGGAAGGUGACAGCCAGGAAUCCUAAAUCAAAGAAAAAAUGCUGUGAACAGGAUGCAGCUUUCUGAGGUGCUUAGAAAUGGAAAGAUGCUUUUGGAAACCAUGCUGGACUGAAAACCUAGACUGAGAUUCCCAGAUUCUAAUAAAAAUAUGGCUAAGUGCUGGCUAAAUGAUGCCUAAGCAGUCAAAUGCAUUGUCCUGGCCAGUACUGAAAGCUGUUGCUGCUGCAACUUCUGCUACCUCUACCAGCAGUGGCUAUGGUCAUAGUGAGCAAGAGGCAUAUAAGAACCACUAAUCUGGAUGAUUUUACUUUAUCUGAAAACUGAGGUAAUGUGUUCCUACAUUUCUCUAAGAAAAACAGGAGUGCACUAAGGAGCAGGAAAAAUCUGCAGAGCUGAUUGGAGCAAUGCAAGGGAUCUCUUAAAAUAUGAAGAGCAAUCUCAUUUCACUGCUUCACCUCUGCAGCCCACUGAAGCAGCUGCUUUUAUUCUCUUGAGAACUUUGUCCCACAAUCCUACAUGACUAGCAAUGUAACCACUCAGCAUACACAUGUAAGUAUUAGGGACAAAACCAACUUCAACAAUAAGCCAGUAACAUGCUGUGCAGCUAGUGUAGCAUAGGAUGAGAAUUAAAGAAAAUCCAACCUGGAUGAAGUAAUUUUAAAGACUAAAGAAAAUGCUUGAGGGAACAUCAGCAUUUCCUCAUAAAUCUGCUCUGUGUGACACAGACUGAACAUGUCUGACCAUGCACGCUCAAAGGCCAGUAACUGCCAAGAAGAAACUCCCUCUGCCUCUCUCUGAUAUAUAUGGAAUUGGCUGCCUUCAAGUUAGAUUGCUAUCUUCUGCUUGGCUCACAUGGCAAAAGACACGCUUCCCACAGUAAGGACUGCAUAUUUACUAAACAACUGGAGCUCAUGAAAACAUAAUACACUAAUGUUUGGGACUUGCUCUUUUUCUGCUGAAUACAGUAAUGGUUCUCUACCGAUGUAAAAACCUUUGAAUAGAUGUAUUCCUUCUGUUUCCACUGAUCCACACAAUAUUCAUUGCAGAAGUUUCCUGUACAUGAUUCAUUUUAAUGGGUCCUACACAUAAAUUUGAGAUUUUGGGAAAAAAAAAUCAACACGGUUCUAAUCAGCAAGCUCAAAAUUCUGAAGCACUAGGCACAACCCUGCAAGGGUUACCUUGUGGUUCUGCAAGACACACUCUUUAUCUUGCGAAAGUAGAAGAAAACACAGCCUACAGCUCAGAGGUACAUGCAGCUGCUGGCAACUAGGCUGGA